GAUGAACGCUGGCGGCGUGCCUAAUACAUGCAAGUCGAGCGAACGGACGAGAAGCUUGCUUCUCUGAUGUUAGCGGCGGACGGGUGAGUAACACGUGGAUAACCUACCUAUAAGACUGGGAUAACUUCGGGAAACCGGAGCUAAUACCGGAUAAUAUUUUGAACCGCAUGGUUCAAAAGUGAAAGACGGUUUUGCUGUCACUUAUAGAUGGAUCCGCGCCGCAUUAGCUAGUUGGUAAGGUAACGGCUUACCAAGGCAACGAUGCAUAGCCGACCUGAGAGGGGGAUCGGACAUACUGGAACUGAGCCACGGUCCAGACUCCUACGGGAGGCAGCAGUAGGGAAUCCUCCGCAAUGGGCGAAAGCCUGACGGAGCAACGCAGCGUGAGUGAUGAAGGUCUUCGGAUCGUAAAACUCUGUUAUUAGGGAAGAACAUAUGUGUAAGUAACUGUGCACAUCUUGACGGUACCUAAUCAGAAAGCCACGGCUAACUACGUG
rnacentral:rRNA from 1 species